rnacentral:rRNA from 1 species
CGGCGGACGGGUGAGUAACACGUGGAUAACCUACCUAUAAGACUGGGAUAACUUCGGGAAACCGGAGCUAAUACCGGAUAAUAUUUUGAACCGCAUGGUUCAAAAGUGAAAGACGGUCUUGCUGUCACUUAUAGAUGGAUCCGCGCUGCAUUAGCUAGUUGGUAAGGUAACGGCUUACCAAGGCAACGGUGCAUAGCCGACCUGAGAGGGUGAUCGGCCACACUGGAACUGAGACACGGUCCAG